AUAAUUCACUCGAAAUUUCGUUAAAAUCAAGUUAUCAACAGUUUACAUAGAAAUGCGUGUGAGGUAUAGUCAUUCAGAGUAAAACGCUCUAUUUUUUUCUUUAAUUAUAAAGUUUUAAGUUUAAUUGCUUGGGAGACCAUUGGAACAGACGAGGUUAAAGAUCGAACAUAAAACAUCGAGCUUCUAAUACUCGUAGUGAAUAUGUGAGAUAGGAUUUCUGAAUUUCGACACCAAUGACUUAGUUUACGAAAGGAAUGCAGGAAGUGAAGAUAUCCUUUCUUGAUAAUUUCCCAUUCUUCCAAAUGUAGAAGGUGCCUAAUUAUAGAGGGUGUUGAUAAGACAAUGGCGGAACGAACUUUAGAAAUCGAAGUAGAGAAGUGAGGAAACAAAAAUGUGGAGGAUGAAAAAAUGGCAAAAAAAAAAACUGAUAUUUUCAAUGUAUCCACUAUACAGAAUUAUGUUUUUUAUUAAUGAAGAUUUUUUCGAAUUAUAUCUCUGUUUGGAUUUAAAGUAAAAUGCGAGUAAUCUCUCUUUGGCUGAUUUUUUCCCCCUAAAGAAGUCUAUUGCAUUUGACAUGCAAAUAAGCAAUCUUUAAAGUGUUUUGUAAUGCUCUUCCAUGCAGG